GAUGAACGCUGGCGGCGUGCCUAAUACAUGCAAGUCGAGCGAACAGACGAGGAGCUUGCUCCUUCGACGUUAGCGGCGGACGGGUGAGUAACACGUAGGUAACCUACCUAUAAGACUGGGAUAACUUCGGGAAACCGGAGCUAAUACCGGAUAAUAUUUCGAACCGCAUGGUUCGAUAGUGAAAGAUGGCUUUGCUAUCACUUAUAGAUGUACCUGCGCCGUAUUAGCUAGUUGGUAAGGUAACGGCUUACCAAGGCAACGAUACGUAGCCGACCUGAGAGGGGGAUCGGCCACACUGGAAGUGAGACACGGUCCAGACUCCUACGGGAGGCAGCAGUAGGGAAUCUUCCGCAAUGGGCGAAAGCCUGACGGAGCAACGCAGCGUGAGUGAUGAAGGUCUGCGGAUCGUAAAACUCUGUUAUUAGGGAAGAACAAACGUGUAAGUAACGGUGCACGUCUUGACGGUACCUAAUCAGAAAGCCACGGCUAACUACGUG
rnacentral:rRNA from 1 species